GUCAACCACUGCAGAUGUCCUAGUGAUAUAGGCCAACAAAACCCUUCAACCAGACAACAAACCUCAAGACUACUGGUUUGAUAAGUGGGUGCAGUAGCUCACGCCUGUAAUCCCAGCACUUUGGGAGGCUGAAGUGGGUGGAUCUCUUGAGCCCUGGAGUUAGAGACCAGCCUGGGCAACAUAGCAAAACCCCUGCCUCAACAAAAGAAAAAAAAAUU
rnacentral:lncRNA from 10 species